GAGUAGGUAGUGCAACGGUUAGCAUACAUUCCCGCAAAGAGUGAGAUCUGGGUUGGAAUCCCGGCUGACGCA